AAUUAAAGAACUUCAAUUUACGAAGAAAAAUGCAUCAGAAUUAAAUUUUCUUGGAAUCAUAAUGAACAAAGAAAAUGUGAUUAGCUGCUAAUUAUAUGUUGACAUUUUGCUUGGUGUUGCUUAGACUGUUUUGAGCUGGCUUUACAUCUAUCCAAAAGGAUUGGAAGAGCUUUUGCUAUAUGUGAAGGAAAAUUACAACAAUCCUACUAUUUUCAUUACUGAAAAUGGAAUGGCUGACGAUGCCUCUUUGCCGCUUGAAGUUGGCCUUAAAGAUGGUUUAAGAAUAAGAUACCUUAGUAGUCACUUAUCUUAUCUUUUAAGGGCAAUCAAGAAGGGUGUUAAUGUAAAAUCAUACUAUAUAUGGUCAUUUUUUGAUGACUUUGAAUGGAGCAGUGGCUACACCAUUCGAUUUGGCAUCACUUAUGUUGAUUAUAAGAAUAAUCUGAAACGAUACCUCAAGUACUCAGCCUAUUGGUUCAAAUUGUUCCUUGCAAAUUAAUUAUGUUUGAAGACCUCCCAAAUACUUUUUACUCUUCAUUUUCCAAUAAAAAAAUAAUAAAAAAAUGCUUUGUGUAACUUACAAUAAUAGUGCGGUUAAUUCAACCGAUCGAAUUAGUCCAUUUGACAAGAAUGUGCUCUCGUUUCUUUUUAAUAAGAGCUCGAUUUCAUGGAUAUGUGAGUUGAUUUGCAUGGAAAAAAUCCAAAUUUCUUAAAUAAAAGAUCGAGCGUUUUCAU